rnacentral:lncRNA from 1 species
UGUUUAAUUGACUAGUCUUUAUGGGAUAAGUAGAGAAACUUCUAGCUCGAUUUGUGAAAAGUCUUGGCCCCCAUACAAAAAAAAUAAAAAUAAAAAAGAAUAAAAAAAAAAAAAAAAAAAAGGGGGCAGAAAAAAUUGUUUUGGAAAAAAAAAAAAAAAAAAAAAAAAAAAAAAAAGGGGGCUAGCAAAGUUGUUUAGAGCUAAGAUUUGUUUAGAAGUUAAGAAAAUCAUUUAUAGAUUUCAUAAAAAAGGAGUUUUAUGUGCAAAGUGUUCUUGGGAUCUUUUGGUGAGAGAUGGGAGUUAGGUUUGACAUU